rnacentral:rRNA from 1 species
UAGGGAAUCUUCGGCAAUGGGGGGAACCCUGACCGAGCAACGCCGCGUGAGUGAAGAAGGUUUUCGGAUCGUAAAGCUCUGUUGUUAAGGAAGAACGAGUGUGAGAAUGGAAAGUUCAUACUGUGACGGUACUUAACCAGAAAGGGACGACUAACUACGUGCCAGCAGCCGCGGUAAUACGUAGGGGGCUAGCGUUGUCCGGAAUCACUGGGCGUAAAGGGUUCGCAGGCGGAAAUGCAAGUCAGGUGUAAAAGGCAGUAGCUUAACUACUGUAAGCAUUUGAAACUGCAUAUCUUGAGAAGAGUAGAGGUAAGUGGAAUUUUUAGUGUAACGGUGAAAUGCGUAGAUAUUAAAAAGAAUACCGGUGGCGAAGGCGACUUACUGGGCUCAUUCUGACGCUGAGGAACGAAAGCGUGGGUAGCAAACAGG